AGAAAGAGUGAGGUCUUGCUCCGAUGGGCUGAGUGACGAGGAUUCCAUGGUAAUGGGCCGAAGGAAAUGAGAGCUGCUCCAUCCAAAGUGGGAUGGAUGCCGUCUCUCCUAACAAGACCAGGUUUCCUCCAGAAAGUUUCCCUAUGAAGCCCACAUCGUUUCUGGGACACCACUCAGACAGCCAGCAAUUUAAGGAGAACAUGCAGCUAAACAUGUCACUCCUGGUCUGAUUGGGGAGGGGACCAGAGAAAACUACAGAGUCCGACAUUGUUUUGGUCUGUUCAUCUUUAUGGUGAACAUACCAACCACAUACUGUAUUGGACAGAUGACGGCUUAUUACAGGAGUGCUAGCCACUGCGCUAGCUGUGUAGCAUACUACUCAAUUCCAUUUUUUUUUAAAUGUAGCAUCAAAUGAGAACAGCAGUC
ensembl:lncRNA